CCAUAAUGACUUAGGUGUUCGGUGUUUUUGUGGGACAAAAAAAAUCGGUAGGUCUUUUGUUUGUUCAGUAGGCCUAACGCAACCAGCACCGCUGCCCUCCCUCUCCCAGCUCCCACCCUGACGCAACUUGCAGAGACGUUUGUUACAUUUGGAUCACGCGCGCACUGUCCUAGUUCAGCCAGCCGCCCGCGCCAGAGAGAGCCGAGGUCGACUCAUCCCGAAGUAGCUGACGGUCGACUCACCCCGAAGAAGCUCAAAUGUCCUUCUCUUUCGUGAGGAUUUCGCAACUAGCAAAAACUCAGUGCAGUGGAAUGCCCGGAGGUCCUGGUCAACAAAAGAAAAGGGAAGUGACCGAACCUGAAGAAGUCAAACUACUGUCCGGAUUCUCCACAAGGGCAAAAUGCUGGAGUGAUGGAGGGGCAUUUAGAUGGAGGUAAUGAAGAAAGACCCAGACAACACAACAGUGGAUGAAGUGAUGUCUGCUACUUUCUCGCUUCGCCGUAAAGAAACAGUUGGGGAUCAACCCAUGGUUGCCGACAGCAUGGAGAGAUGGCCGGCCAUGUUUUCUGAACGACAGGCCCAUGGUGACACACUUGGAGAAGCAACGAAAGACAUCCACCUUGGAAUUCUGAUUAGCUACGAAGUCAACCAGGAGGGAGCCUUUCCAGCAGCUUGUUUCGGAAGUUGUGGACUCGAGCUGAGGCGUUGUCUGGUUGUAUUUUCACUACCACACGUUGCAGAAACGAAUACGUACUUCAUGGCGCUCGGACACUGCAGGUUAACCGCAUAUAUUAUGCCUAACAGCAAGGCCACACCGUUGCCAUAUCGUUUAAAAUUGUGUAGCACAACGAUUUCCUCCACAACAACUGCCACAUGGAAGACAUCUGCUGGAGGUUGGAGCUGUAGACCUGGUAUGUUAGUCAA